AUUUAAAUAGUUUAAUUAAAAUUUUGAUUUGUGGGAUCAUAGAUAAUUUUCAAUAAUUUUUAAAUU
rnacentral:tRNA from 1 species